GCCCAGUGAUGAGACCAAGGCGAAUACGAGCUUACUGAACGAGAGCUGGGUUCUUCUUGCCUUUAUUGGCGGGUAAUCUUGGCAGUGCAGAGGAGCAUUCCUGCUCUGCUGUAAGGGCCCGCCAACAGUGAACUGGCUCAACCCAAAUUAUUCCUCUACAGUCAAAGCAGAGUAAUUGCUGGGAUAAAGCCGACAGUGUGUUUUGUGUGUGUGUGUGUGUGUGUGUGUGGUUGCGUGUGUAUGUGUAAGAGGCAAGGAGUUCACCCAGCUCUCUUUAAGGUUCAGUUUGCAAUGAGUUGCUCUUUGGUAAUCUGAGGGCA